AAAAAAUAAUAAAUUCACAUUUAAAGCUGAAACCGCUAUAUUCAAAAGCACCAUCAGAAAAUUUUUGCAUGAUUAUUACUGUUAUCCAUUUGUAUGGUUUAGUUCACUUCUGACAGCACACCAGCUUCCUAUACUUCCCCCCCCCUGGGGUAAUGAAUUAUCAGAGAAAGAGAGGGUGGGAGGAAAAAUACAUGCUUGGAGAAAACAAAUAUUGCAAGCAUAACUGUUAAUGGGAAAAAUUUGUGUUAUCAUAUUCAUCAUUAAUAGAUUUUAAAGAAAGGGAGAACACCAACCUUCCAAUUGCCGUGGGGUAACAU
rnacentral:misc_RNA from 1 species